rnacentral:lncRNA from 1 species
GUUUGCCAAUCCGGAAACAACAGUGAUUGAGGGGCUCUGGAAGGAAACAAUUGAUUGAUUGAUCAAUAAUUGAGCGACUCUGGAAGGAGUUGGGUUUGCCAAUCCGGAAACAGUAGGACAACCUGAAAUUAUGAAAUUCCAAGAUUGAAGGAAGUUUGUCUCAAGAUUAUAUGCCAUUAAACAAAGUAUACCCAAGUGUUUGCAACGAAAAAAUACAUACAUAAAAGGUAUUGAAAAUACAAAACCUGGAUCAGAAGUUGGCACACAACCUGGAGGAGUUGGCACACAACCUAAAUUAGGAGUUGGGUUUGCCAAUCCGGAAACCACAGUGAUUGUGGGGCUCUGGAAGGAAAUAAUUGAUUGAUUGAUCAACGAUUGUGUGGCUCUGGAAGGAGUUAGGUUUGCCAAUCCGGAAAUAGCAGGAGAACCUACAAUUAUGAAAUCUCAAGAUUUAAGCAAUUAUACGCGAUUAGGAAAUGUAAACACUAUAGAUUAUACCUGAAUUCUGUGUUCGUUUUGUCAAACCGGCUUUUGGUGUAAUCACUACAGAUUGCUGUAGACUGCCCUGAUGAGAACCCUGAUGUGGAAGAUCUCCACGAGCAUUUAUAGUUGCUGCUAGUUUCUUAGCUUUUUUACGUGCAUAAUCUUACCUUCACUUUGCAUUCAUCUGAGCUCUCACCUUAGAUGGCAAGUUUGC